GACGAACGCUGGCGGCGUGCUUAACACAUGCAAGUCGAACGAGUGGCGAACGGGGGAGUAAUACGUGGGUGACCUGCCCUCUUUUUGGGGUAAGCCUUGGAAACGGGGACUAAUACCGAAUAAAGGAGGUGGGCAGCGCGGCCUAUCAGCUGGUUGGUGGGGUGAUGGCCUACCAAGGCGGUGACGGGUAGCCGGCCUGGGAGGGUGACCGGCCACACUGGGACUGAGAGACGGCCCAGACUCCUACGUGAGGCAGCAGUGGGGGAUAUUGCACAAUGGGCGAAAGCCUGAUGCAGCCAUGCCGCGUGUAUGAAGAAGGCCUUCGGGUUGUAAAGUACUUUCAGCGGGGAGGCGUUACUCGCAGAAGAAGCACCGGCUAACUCCGUGCCAGCAGCCGCGGUAAUAC
rnacentral:rRNA from 1 species